CCCACCCGAUCCCAUCUCGAACUCGGUCGUUAAGCCUCUUCGCGCCGAUGGUACUUUGUCUUAAGGCACGGGAGAGUAGGUCGCUGCCCGGC
rnacentral:rRNA from 1 species